rnacentral:hammerhead_ribozyme from 1 species
AUCUAGCUGACGAGUCCCAAACGGGACGGAGCAGGUUUCCUGGAU